rnacentral:rRNA from 1 species
GUCAUGGCUCAGGACGAACGCUGGCGGCGUGCCUAAUACAUGCAAGUAGAACGCUGAAGAGAGGAGCUUGCUCUUCUUGGAUGAGUUGCGAACGGGUGAGUAACGCGUAGGUAACCUGCCUUGUAGCGGGGGAUAACUAUUGGAAACGAUAGCUAAUACCGCAUAACAAUGGGUGACUCAUGUCAUUUAUUUGAAAGGGGCAAAUGCUCCACUACAAGAUGGACCUGCGUUGUAUUAG